AAAGUUUUAUUUUGGCUAAAAAUUUAUUAAAUAUUUAUUUUACAUGUAAAGUUUUAUAAGAAUUAUUAGAUUUUUUAAUAAAAUUUAAUAUAAUUUAUUCGCAGUAUUUGAUUUUAUAAAUUAAAGAAAUUUAGAUUUAGUAAUAUAUUUUUUUAUAGGAUAAUUUUGUGCCAGCAUCUGCGGUUAUACAAAAUAUAAAAAUAAAUUUUAUUAGUGUAUAAUAGUUAAAAUAAUUUAUUAUAUUAAUUAAUAAUAUUAUUUUAUUAGGUUAAAUUUAUAAAUAAUUAAUAAAUUAAUAUUAAAAAAUAAUUUGAAGCUAUAAAAUUUAAAAAUUAAACUAGGAUUAGAUACCCUAUUAUUUUAAAUAUAAAAAUUAUAAACUAAGGUAGUAAUAGAUAUAUUCUUGAAACUUAAAAAAUUUGGCGGUGUUUUAGUCUAUUUAGAGGAACCUGUUCUGUAAUUGAUAGUCCACGAUUAAUUUUACUAAAUUUUAUAAAAUUUGUAUACCGUCGUUAAAAGAAUAUCUUAAAAGAGAAAAAUUUUCUAAAAUUUAAAUUAAAAUUUAUUUCAGAUCAAGGUGCAGUUUAUAAUUUAGAAGAAAUGGGUUACAAUAAUUAUAAUUAAACGGAUUUUUUAUUGAAAUAUAAAAUUGAAGGUGGAUUUAAUAGUAAAAUUAAUAAAAUUAUUAAUUUGAUUUUAGCUCUAAAACAUGUACAUAUCGCCCGUCGCUCUCUUUUUUAAAAGGAGAUAAGUCGUAACAUAGUAGGUGUACUGGAAAGUGUACCUAGAAUGAU
rnacentral:ncRNA from 1 species